rnacentral:rRNA from 1 species
AUUGAACGCUGGCGGCAGGCCUAACACAUGCAAGUCGAGCGGAUGAAGGGAGCUUGCUCCUGGAUUCAGCGGCGGACGGGUGAGUAAUGCCUAGGAAUCUGCCUGGUAGUGGUGGAUAACGUCCGGAAACGGGCGCUAAUACCGCAUCCGUCCUGAGGGAGAAAGUGGGGGAUCUUCGGACCUCACGCUAUCAGAUGAGCCUAGGUCGGAUUAGCUAGUUGGUGGGGUAACGGCCUACCAAGGCGACGAUCCGUAACUGGUCUGAGAGGAUGAUCAGUCACACUGGAACUGAGACACGGUCCAGACUCCUACGGGAGGAAGCAGUGGGGAAUAUUGGACAAUGGGCGAAAGCCUGAUCCAGCCAUGCCGCGUGUGUGAAGAAGGUCUUCGGAUUGUAAAGCACUUUAAGUUGGGAGGAAGGGCAGUAAGUUAAUACCUUGCUGUAUUGACGUUACCAACAGAAUAAGCACCGGCUAACUUCGUG